rnacentral:rRNA from 1 species
GCUCCAAUAGCGUAUAUUUAAGUUGUUGCAGUUAAAAAGCUCGUAGUUGGAUUUCGGGUGGGUGUAGCGGUCAGCCUUUGGUUAGUACUGCUAUGGCCUACUUCUUGCGGGCCGGGAGCUCCUGGGCUUAACUGUCCGGGACUCGGAAUCGGCGAGGUUACUUUGAGUAAAUUAGAGUGUUCAAGCAAGCCUACGCUCUG